GCACGUCCACACCUCACCAGAUCCACCACUCCAUCAAACACCGGCAAACGCUGCUGUAAUGGCAUGUGAAGUGGCACCAAACCUCUCAAUGCCACCACUUCAUUAUUAGGUGCAUUGAAAUUCAUNNNNNGUGAUUACAGUCACAUUGUACUGCUUCAUUCUUGCUGCAAAAGUACCAGUGCUGCCGCCAAUAUCAAUGCCAAGUCUGAUCACAGAAUUAGCUGAUUUUGCUACUUGUAAAAGCUGUGGAAUUGGGAGAUCUAGCUCUGUUUUAUAAGUUAUAAACCUUGACAUCUCAGCGCCUAUAUCAAAAUCAAGAUUCGGGCUUUGUUUAGCGAGACAAUAAAAGGAUUUGCAAGAAUAUUGAGCCCAUAUUAUGUUGGACUCGAGAAAUGAGGAAGGGAAAGGAUUUCGUGGGAGAGAAGAAGGGGCUUUUGAUGGGGUUUUGGAGAAGCACCGGCGGCGGGGAAGUGGGUGGCAGCCACGGAGGAUUAAAGACUC
rnacentral:misc_RNA from 1 species